rnacentral:rRNA from 1 species
GUAUAGUUAAGUGACUAAGCGUACAAGGUGGAUGCCUUGGCAAUCAGAGGCGAAGAAGGACGUGCUAAUCUGCGAAAAGCUUGGAUGAGUCGAUAAGAGGCGUUUAAUCCAAGAUAUCCGAAUGGGGAAACCCAGUAGAUGAAGAAUCUACUAUCAACAAGUGAAUUCAUAGCUUGUUGAGGCAAACCGGGAGAACUGAAACAUCUAAGUACCCCGAGGAAAAGAAAUCAACCGAGAUUUCGUCAGUAGCGGCGAGCGAAAGCGAAAGAGCCAGUAAGUGAUAGCAGUAUAGUGAGGAGAAUGUGUUGGGAAGCACAAUCAAAGAGGGUGAUAAUCCCGUAUCUAAAAACCAUAUUGUGGUACUAAGCUAACGAGAAGUAGGGCGGGACACGUGAUAUCCUGUUUGAAGAAGGGGGGACCAUCCUCCAAGGCUAAAUACUCCUGAUUGACCGAUAGUGAACCAGUACUGUGAAGGAAAGGCGAAAAGAACCCCGGUGAGGGGAGUGAAAUAGAACCUGAAACCUUGUACGUACAAGCAGUGGGAGCCCCAUCACUUAAUCCGAUUGGAAGGUGAUGAAAAGCAACCGCACUUAAACAAUGGUAAGAGGAGCGAAGCGAGUCAAACCACCCAAAAGAAGCAGUGGGAUUAAGUGAUGGGGUGACUGCGUACCUUUUGUAUAAUGGGUCAGCGACUUAUAUUUUGUAGCGAGGUUAACCGAAUAGGGGAGCCGAAGGGAAACCGAGUCUUAACUGGGCGAAUAGUUGCAAGGUAUAGACCCGAAACCCGGUGAUCUAGCCAUGGGCAGGUUGAAGGUUGGGUAACACUAACUGGAGGACCGAACCGACUAAUGUUGAAAAAUUAGCGGAUGACUUGUGGCUGGGGGUGAAAGGCCAAUCAAACCGGGAGAUAGCUGGUUCUCCCCGAAAUCUAUUUAGGUAGAGCCUUGAGGUGACACCUUUGGGGGUAGAGCACUGUUUCGGCUAGGGGGCCAUCCCGGCUUACCAACCCGAUGCAAACUACGAAUACCAAAGAGUGAUACUCAGGAGACACACGGCGGGUGCUAACGUCCGUCGUGGAGAGGGAAACAACCCAGACCGCCAGCUAAGGUCCCCAAGUCUAUAUUAAGUGGGAAACGAAGUGGGAAGGCUUAGACAGCUAGGAUGUUGGCUUAGAAGCAGCCAUCAUUUAAAGAAAGCGUAAUAGCUCACUAGUCGAGUCGGCCUGCGCGGAAGAUGUAACGGGGCUGAAAUAUAGCACCGAAGCUGCGGCAUCAG